GACGAACGCUGGCGGCGUGCCUAACACAUGCAAGUCGAGCGGGAAUUUACAGAUUGAAGCUUCGGCAGAUUUCUGUAAAGGAUAGCGGCGGACGGGUGAGUAACGCGUGAGUAACCUGCCCUUAAGAGGGGGAUAACACACCGAAAGGUGUGCUAAUACCGCAUAACAUACAUUUGCCGCAUGGCAGAUGUAUCAAAGAUUUAUCGCUUAAGGAUGGACUCGCGUCUGAUUAGAUAGUUGGUGAGGUAACGGCUCACCAAGUCGACGAUCAGUAGCCGAACUGAGAGGUUGAUCGGCCACAUUGGGACUGAGACACGGCCCAGACUCCUACGGGAGGCAGCAGUGGGGAAUAUUGCGCAAUGGGGGCAACCCGUGACGCAGCAACGCCGCGUGAAGGAUGAAGGUCUUCGGAUCGUAACUUUGUCUUAUGGGAAGAACAAGGACGGUACCAUAGGAGAAAGCCGACGGCUAACUACGUG
rnacentral:rRNA from 1 species